UGCCUUCUUAGCUCUGGCCUACUGUCUAAAAAUAAUAUUCUCGUGCCUUCAAAUGCCGGGUGCCUAGCAAUCAAAGGGGCUGCUUUUCCGAUAAAAUAUUUCUACUAGGGGUUCGAAGCAUCCAAAUCCUGACUCGACAAGCUUUUUCCACCAUUGACGGUGCGACGAAGUAGUCUUGCUGGUCGAAGGGAGGUCCAACUGCAGCUGCAUAAAAGAGGAAUUUACUCUCAACGACCCACCAUGAUGUGCUGGACGACAUUGGUGGACACAGCAGCUGUAAUGUGAAUGUCUACCUUUCUCAAGGAUCCCUCCUGUAGCCUUUUAAGUUUUGUAAACCCUUCGAAAGUGAAACGCUUCGGAAAAAAUUAGAAAUAUUGCGAUCGGGAAAGCUUCAUCUUAUGAAGGUAUUGAUUCGUUUGGGACUUUCGUCGCCACAAUUUGAUUGACCUGCUGGCGGAUCUAUUCUUUUACCAACACAAAAAAAAAAACGAUUUUCAAUUUAAGAUUACGUGUUUUUAAAAGUGUAGUUUUUCUUUACUUUUCCCGUUCAAGCGGGUUUUAUUUUUUGGGUGGGUAAAUA